rnacentral:rRNA from 1 species
ACAGAGGUCCCAAGCGUUGUUCGGAUUCACUGGGCGUAAAGGGUGCGUAGGCGGUCGGGUAAGUCUGAUGUGAAAUCUCCAAGCUCAACUUGGAAAUAGCAUCGGAUACUAUUCGGCUCGAGGAAUGGAGGGGAGACUGGAAUACUUGGUGUAGCAGUGAAAUGCGUAGAUAUCAAGUGGAACACCAGUGGCGAAGGCGACUCUCUGGGCUGUAACUGACGCUGAGGCGCGAAAGCGUGGGGAGCAAACAGGA